rnacentral:sRNA from 1 species
GAAAGACGCGCAUUUGUUAUCAUCAUCCCUGUUCUCAGAGAUGAAAAUUUGGCCACAGUGAUGUGGCCUUUU